GACGUAGGGCGCGAGCGUUGUCCGGAUUUAUUGGGCGUAAAGAGCUCGUAGGCGGCUUGUUGCGUCGACUGUGAAAACCCGCGGCUUAACUGCGGGCUUGCAGUUGAUACGGGCAGGCUAGAGUUCGGUAGGGGAGACUGGAAUUCCUGGUGUAGCGGUGAAAUGCGCAGAUAUCAGGAGGAACACCGGUGGCGAAGGCGGGUCUCUGGGCCGAUACUGACGCUGAGGAGCGAAAGCGUGGGGAGCGAUCCGG
rnacentral:rRNA from 1 species